GCAUCGACAAUUACACCAACUAGCCUCAACAAAUUUGCGGGGUCAUUUUGUGUACACUUGUGCAAUGUAUCGAAUCCACAACCCUAUUCUUGAACUAAUUGUGUAUACGCAAGUAACAAGUUGCGAAUGCUCGCAACAUAAAAUCUCUAGAGCAGUAUUCUUGACACUCUUUCAGUUUUUGGAUUGACUAAUAUUUUGGAAGAAGAAGAAGAAGAGAGACACUGUGUCAGAGAGACGAAAAGAGAAAGCGGAGAAUAAAAGAUUUAAUUUAUAUAAAAAAUGAAUCUUGAUGAUACAGUACUAAAUGUACUAUAAAUUUAUGCAAUUAUAAAUGCAUUACAAAAUGCAGAAAUAGCAGAAGAAUGAAGAAUUUUUCAUAUCAGGGAUGAUUUAAAUUAUCUAAUGAACAAUUUAUUAUAUUGUUUCGUUUAAGUAAAGCCGCAGUGAUAUCUUAUUGAUCUUAUUGAACAUUUAACUCCUCAAACAAGAAUAUCCUCAAUUGAUCCUACAACUAAGGUUAUUACAGUAUUGCGAUUUUUUGCGAGUGGUUCUUAUCAGAUGGAUAUCGGAAAAAAUAUUUAUAUGGCUGUCAGUUAACCAACAGUUUCCCGUUGUAUUCAUGAAAUAAUAGAUGUAAUAAUAAGAAAAU